UACGAAGGGGGCUAGCGUUGCUCGGAAUCACUGGGCGUAAAGGGUGCGUAGGCGGGUCUUUAAGUCAGGGGUGAAAUCCUGGAGCUCAACUCCAGAACUGCCUUUGAUACUGAGGAUCUUGAGUCCGGAAGAGGUGAGUGGAACUGCGAGUGUAGAGGUGAAAUUCGUAGAUAUUCGCAAGAACACCAGUGGCGAAGGCGGCUCACUGGUCCGGUACUGACGCUGAGGCACGAAAGCGUGGGGAGCAAACAGGAUUAGAUACCCGCGUAGUCC
rnacentral:rRNA from 1 species